ACAACGUUCUUAAUCUAUUGCAAAAUUUUUAGAAAGUUGUUUUUGUUUAUGGGGGAAGGGAGUAACAUGCCAAUAUAAAACCCUUUAACUGGAUGUAGCAACUCUUGCAGGUCUUGAAGUUGCUCUUUCUCACCGUGGAGAUAUGGUACCAUUCGAUUAGACCACACAGCAUUUUGGGGAGUCUUCCUGAUUAGGCACUUAUGGAAUAUACAUGAUCCUAGAUCACCCCACAACCACCUCAAAAACAAUUAACAGAUACUAGUAUCUCGUCCGAUAAGCAUAGGCUAACUCUGUGCCAGCAGCCGCGGUAAGAAGAGGAUGCAAGCGUUAUCCGGAAUGAUUGGGCGUAACAGUUUAAAGCGUCUGUGGUGGCUUUUCAAGCCGCCGUCCAAAUCCCAGGGCUAACCCUGGACAGGCGGUGGAAACUACCAAGCUGGAGUACGGUUAGGGGCAGAGGGAAAGUUCCGGUGGAGCGGUGAAAGCAUUGAGAUCGGAAAGAACACCAACGCGAAAGCAAUCUGCUGGCCGACCACUGACAAUGAGAGGACGAAAGCUAGGGGAGGCAAAUUGGGAUUGAGGACCCCAGUAGUCCAGCCGUAAACGAUGGAUACUAGGCCCUGCGCCGUGUGCGACACGACCCGUGCAGUGCUGUAGCUAACGCGUUAAGAUCCAGCAUGGGAGAGUACUUCGCAAGAAUUUAAACUUCAAAUUACAUUGACGUGGUGGUCCCUCACAAAUCGUGAUCAUGUGUUUAAUUCGAUGCAAAGCCGAAGAACCUUACCAGGCUUGACAUGCCGCGAAAUCCUCUUGAAAGAGAGGGGUCAGCCCUCGGGAACGCGGACAACAGGUGCGUGCAUGGCUGUCGUCAGCUCGUGCCGCGUAUUAAGGUGUUGGGUUACGUCUCGCAACGAGCGCAACCCUCGUGUGUAGUUGCCACUAUGAGUUUGAACCCUGAACAGAACCGCCGGUGUUAAGCCGGAGAAGGAGAGGAUGAGGCAAUCAUCAUGCCCCUUAUGCACCUGGGCGACACACGUGCACAAUGGGCGGGACAAAGGUCGCAUCUCGCGAGGUGAGCUAACUCCAAAAACCCGUCCUCAGUUCGGAUUGCAGGCUGCAACUCGCCUGACAUGAAGCAGGAUCGACUAGUAUCGCCGGUCAGCCAUACGGCGGUUUGAUGAAUCCGUUCCCGGGCAUUUUGGACACACCGCCGUGUCACAAUAUAGAGCUGGCAGUUUGAAAGUCAUUACCCUUACCGUAAGGAGGGGGAUGCCUAAAGGCUAGGAUUGCGGACUGGAGUGAGGAAGUGAAGCGUAACAAGGUAGCGUACGGGAAGGUGGGGGAU
rnacentral:rRNA from 1 species